AUGGGGGCGCGACUAGCGCCCGGGAGCCUAAGAAUCUCCCCAAACAAAUCCGGGAGGUUGUCAUGGCACCAAUUGCCACCAACUACUCCCCGGAAGCAACUCCAUAGGAACUGCGCCGCAGGGCAACGGAAGAAGAUGUGGUUGCAGUCUUCCGGAACCAAACAAAUGGGACAGAGGCCAUCCCCAGGGCCAUUACGUUUUCGGACCUCCGUGCCCGAGGGCAGGCGACCUCGGACCCAUUGCCAGAUAAAUAUGUGGAUUUUCAAGGGGAGUUUGAUCUCCCAGAGCACCGAGAGCUCCACCAGAGCAGGGGUGGGAAUAAUCGCCUGGUAUAGUGAUCUAGUCGAGAAUCUACCGGCUCGAGAUGCCAAGACAGCGAGUCGGGUUCCAGGGAGGGGGAGUGGAGGGCAAUACACUAAAGAAAUUCAUCCCAUUGCUCGAGUUCCACCGCCCCGAAGCCAGAAUAAGGUGGAUGAUCCGGAGCCAACUCUAUUGGAGGUCCCAAUGCGCAAGACCGGGGCUUCGGCCUCACUGUCCGGAGGCGUGAACUCAUCGAAGUAUUUGCGUGAGGAGGAGAUUGACAUUGUGGGCUUGCAAGAGACGAUUCGCCAAGACUUUAGUAUGCAUGAGCUCCAUGGGCUGUCCCGCCACCAGUUUGCCUGGCAGUGGUUACCUUCUUCGGGGAAGUCUGGUGGCAUUUUUCUCGGAGGUCGGGAGGAUGUUUUCUCGGUUGAGGAUAUGGACCGAGGGGGAUUCUUCCUGAGCAUGUCCGUUACUGACCGACGAGUGCACCUCAGCUGGGAGGUGAUUUUUGUCUAUGGUCCUGUUGAUCAUGCUCGCUCUGCUAGCUUCCUCGCCGAGCUUAAAAAUAAGGUGGACAGGUGCACCACCCCGGUGGUGGUGGCCGGUGACUUCAACCUCAUUAGGUGGGCUUCUAACCUUGCGCUCCGUGAGAUAGCCCGCGUAGGGGCUAGGUUCACGUGGACGAAUAAGCAGGGGGACCCCAUCCGGAGUGUCUUGGAUCGGGUUUUUGUGUCGGCUCAGUCGGAGGUGAUGUUCCCACUGUGCUCUCUCAAGGUGGUCACUCGGAUUGGCUCCAAUCAUACCCCUCUGCUGUCCUCAUCGGGGGAUGAGGCCCCCCCUAGGACUUGUCGCUUCUGCUUCGAGAUGUUUUGGUUGGAGCAACCGAGUUUCUUUGAGAUGGUUCGCGACCGCUGGCUAGAGGCGGCCGCGUCCCCGCCCCGUGUGUUUUCUUCUGUGGAUGUCUGGCAUCACUACGCGAAACUAUCUCGUCAGGCCAUGAAGGGCUGGGGGUGA
rnacentral:rRNA from 1 species